UUCGCAUCUCUAAUGGCGAUUAGUGUUGAGCAGACGAUUUUUCAUCUUCUUCCUUAAGGAAGGAACGGUUCAUCUACGAUGUAUAAAGAGAUUUUGCAAGGCCAUGAUGUGAAAAGAUACAGCAAGCUUAUGGGGUCGAUCUACUUCUUCUCGACGAUACGGUACCUCUGGCGAUUUGAAAAAUAAACGCUUCCAUUUUCCUGAUUUAUAGGAGGGUGAUGGGAGACGACUAUUUAUAGUGAAUUUCUGGAGCGAGAUACUGUUCGUGUCAUUUGGUCGGGAUUUCUUCUCGCUGACAAAGGGAAACCGGAACCGUUAUGGGUUUUUGGAUUUUUACCUAUCCUUGCAGGCUGGAUUGUAAACCUUCAACGAGUCAUAGGAUUAUGAACUGAACGUGAUCUUUCCGGCUAGAUUUCAAACUUUCAAAAGAAAGUUGUUCAAGUAGAUGUCAAAGGUCUUCGUGCCACCACAUCCUUUGAUCAAACACUGGAUCUUUGUCCUGAGAAACGACCAAAAAUCCUUCUCCUAUUUUCAAUGUGUUCAUUCAGUACCAAGAGUUUAAAAGAUAGUGUUCUUUUUUCUUCAGACAAGUGGGUCCCAGUCUCAAUAUUUAAUGUCAGAUCUUUGCACAUGUGAAAUAAGUCAUGAAAAUUGGUCAAAGAGUGAAUGACUUUGGGAGGAACAUCAGCAGGCUGUUUAAGCACAAACUAUCUGUUGGGAAGUGUGUCAGAACGAGGGCAAACAUCGCAGCUGGGGCUGUGUCCAUCAGCUCAGCCGUAGUCUUAGCUUAGCACAAUAACAUGAUUUUCUAGAGGCCCAGUUGCUAAGCCUUAAGUGAUGUUAAAAAAAAAGCAAAGCUGAUUAUCAGUCGUUGUCGUCUCAGCUAAGCUUCUGUUCAGGGGAAGGCGUAACAAAGGUCAACAAUGGCAGACAAUCAAACCUUCCGGUCAUGGUGAAUUCACAAAUCCAUCUCUCCAAAUUGAAGCUAAGGCGCGGUAAGCAGGUUGUGGUCACACGUCUGCUUUGGUUUUGGGAAUCUAGAAUGUUAAGAAAGGAGGAAAGCUAAUUGGGGUUGACAUGCUAUUCGUCGCAGAAAAGGGAGUUGAAAAGCUUCACUUUUUCUAAGGAUCUCAAGAGUAAAGACACUUCUGUCCGAGAGUCAUGAAAAGCCUUUGCAUGUAGAAACAGAGAUCGUAUCUACAGCCAGUAGUCAUGUCGGUAUCUAAUGGAUAUUGUUAGAGGUACAGAGAAACAAUGAUCACGUUCAUGCCUCACAACUCAACCAAUAAUCAAAUUAUUAAAAAGUU